rnacentral:rRNA from 1 species
UAAGGGGGACCUGCGGACGACAUUAUCGAGUUUUUGAACGGGUUGUCUGCUGACUCGCGAGAGUAUGUGCACGCCUGGCUCAUCCACACUCACUUCUGUGCACUUUUCAUAGGCCGGCUCGAGGGUGGUGCGCGAAAGCGCACGCCCGAAGGCUUCAGGCUUAUGCUUUACAACAAACGAUUCAGUUAUAGAAUGUCUUACUUGCGAUAACGCAAUUAUAUACAACUUUCAGCAACGGAUCUCUUGGCUCUCGCAUCGAUGAAGAACGCAGCGAAAUGCGAUAAGUAAUGUGAAUUGCAGAAUUCAGUGAAUCAUCGAAUCUUUGAACGCACCUUGCGCUCCUUGGUAUUCCGAGGAGCAUGCCUGUUUGAGUCUCAUGGAAUUCUCAACCUUCAACUUUAUUGAUGAAGGCUUGGACUUGGAGGUUGUGUCGGCUCUUGUUAGUCGACUCCUCUGAAAUGCAUUAGUGCGAACGUUACCAGCCGCUUCAGCGUGAUAAUUAUCUGCGUUGCUGCGGAGGGUAAGUGAGUGUUCACGCUUCUAAUCGUCUUCGGACAACAUUUCUGAACUCUGAGCUCAAAUCAGGUAGGACUACCCGCUGAACUUAAGCAUAUCAAAAGCCGGGAGGAAA